rnacentral:rRNA from 1 species
CCUACGGGGGGCUGCAGUGGGGAAUUUUGGACAAUGGGGGGAACCCUGAUCCAGCCAUGCCGCGUGUGUGAAGAAGGCCCUCGGGUUGUAAAGCACUUUCAGUGAGGAAGAACGCCUGGUGGUUAAUACCCAUCAGGAAAGACAUCACUCACAGAAGAAGCACCGGCUAACUCCGUGCCAGCAGCCGCGGUAAUACGGAGGGUGCGAGCGUUAAUCGGAAUUACUGGGCGUAAAGCGCGCGUAGGUGGCUUGAUAAGCCGGUUGUGAAAGCCCCGGGCUCAACCUGGGAACGGCAUCCGGAACUGUCAAGCUAGAGUGCAGGAGAGGAAGGUAGAAUUCCCGGUGUAGCGGUGAAAUGCGUAGAGAUCGGGAGGAAUACCAGUGGCGAAGGCGGCCUUCUGGACUGACACUGACACUGAGGUGCGAAAGCGUGGGUAGCAAACAGGAUUAGAUACCCGUGUAGUC